CAAUAGCGUAUAUUUAAGUUGUUGCAGUUAAAAAGCUCGUAGUUGGAUUUCGGGUGGGACGCAGCGGUCUCGCAUUGCGUUUGUACUGCUGCAGCCCUCCUUCUUGCCGGGGGCGGCCUCUCGGACUUCACUGUCUGGGGGUCAGAAUCGGCGAUGUUACUUUGAGUAAAUUAGAGUGUUCAAAGCAAGCUUACGCUCUGAAUAUAAUAGCAUGGGAUAACACGACAGGACUCUGGCCUAUCGUGUUUGUCUAUAGGACCAGAGUAAUGAUUAAGAGGGACAGUCGGGGGCAUUCGUAUUCCGUUGUCAGAGGUGAAAUUCUUGGAUUUACGGAAGACGAACAUCUGCGAAAGCAUUUGCCAAGGAUGUUUUCAUUGA
rnacentral:rRNA from 1 species